rnacentral:lncRNA from 1 species
AUGGAAGGAGAGGCUCGGGGACAUGAACGAAAGCUCUUAUCCAAAUCAGAAACAGCUGACAGAGUAACAGAGAAAUGGCCAAGAAGACAUCUGGAUGGAGUGACACCUGAUGACAGGAAGCACAACCAGAGAACUUACUCCAGCAUGGUGACUAUCAUGGAAGGAGAUUCUACUGCAAUCUCCAAUGGAAUGGCAGCACUGCCUUUGCUCCAUGCAUUUUCCACAUGGUGUAGGCCUGGAUUCUACUCUUGCUUUUUACAUCUUUCUCAGUGACCAUAGUCUUCUGAGAAGACUCACAAGACUAUGCCUAUAUCAAGGUGAUGGUGAAUGAGGUAAGGCUCUGCUCACUCUGAUGUAAUCUGAAAUAAACGAGAUGGACAAGUGAUCA